GUUCCGGUUUAUAGUUUUGCGCGCGCUGCUGGAGCUGCUUCAGCUUUUCAGCUUAGCUAAGACACAAUUUUACGGUUUCUUACUGUAUUGUGUGCUAGAAUGUUGUUCUAGUUGCGCUGGAAGAAUCGAAUGGUGUUCGAGCUUGCGAUCACGAGCGACACUUGGCCGCAACGCUGGAGCUGCGCGUUUAUGCCAGAGUGCGGGAAGCCUCAAGCUCGCUUCUUCCCGACGCCGCCCCGGAUUCGAGGGCCGCCGGGGACCUUCUCCAUCGGCGUUGCCGCCGCUGGGAGGCGGCUCUCAAAAGUUCAGAGUUGGCAGACCGCAGCUCUGGGCCAUCCGGCAAGCCGAAGGUGCCGCUCGAGUUUGCCGCUCGAGUUCAAGGACUUCGAGCCGCCACCUGAGGCCACCACAACAAAAACUGCCGGACCAUUCUCUAUUAAAGUUUCUUCUUCAUCCUUCGUAGGAUUGCUGUUGCAUAUAUUGCCCGAUGAAGUUGUCAACCACCUGUCACUUUGUUCGAACAGAGUGCCAUGCAUUGACAAAAAUUCUCAUCACAACAAGAAAAUCUCUGAAGGAGAUUUUUGAGACUGACUAGGACUUCGUCUUGGGCAACACCAAACCGAAGAAGUUGUCGAUCACUUUGGACUUUUCUCAAACAGGGUGUUGUCCGGUGAUUGAAUUUCUCUUCACACAAGGACAGAUUGUGAAGGAGAUUUUGUAAACUAUCAGCAGCAGUAGAGAACAAGGCACAAAGAAUAAAGGAAAUUGAUGGA